CACAUAUAGUGUAAAAUACAACUUAAUUUAUUGAUCAUUACAUAGAAUUCAAUUAAGAUAUUGUAUGAAAGUAUGAUUUCUUCAAUUCUCACACGAGAAUAGAAGGAUUUUUGUUUUGAUUGGGUCGGUUCCAAGAAGUUUUUUUUGUCUACCUUACUUUCUUUCUUCAUUUUUAUCUUAUAUCAAUAAGAUAUUAAUAACUCAAUCAAAAUAAAAUUAUCUCCAAGAACAAAAUGUUUGUUAUGCUUAAUAUCUUAGUUUAAUGUAUAUCUGUCUUAAUUCUGCCCUUUAUUCGAGUAGUUUUUUAUUCGCUAAAUACCCGAGGCCUACGCUUUUUGAAUCCAAUUGUAGAUAUUAUGCCAGUAAUACCUGUUCUAUUUUUUCUCUUAGCCUUUGUUUGGCAAGCUGCUGUAAGUUUUCGAUAAGAUCUUUAAUAUUGUGCUAGAAAAAUUCAUGAUUUAUCUAGUUCGAAAAAAAAAAAAUUCUAACAAUUAAUAAAUAAGAGCAGAUGAGUCUUACAAUAUGAACGAACCCCCGCCUCAAUUCAAACAUUCAAACAAUGAAAUUCUUGGGAACCGCGAUCCAUUUUGAUCCCCCAUUUGCUAUUUGCAAUUUGACCCUUUUCACUGAAACCACUUAUAUUAGAGCAACCAAAAUGUAGAAUUCUAAUUGUGUGAAUUAAUUUAUGAAAACGAUUUCUAUUUAGAGAAUCAAAUUCUAAAAAGAACUUCAUUCUUGAUGUCAAAAUUGGAUAUGUAGUAUAAAAAUAGAGAAUCUAUUCUCUUUUCCUUUUCCCCAAAAACCUGAUUUGGAGAUUGUGUAAUGCUUACUCUCAAACUCUUGUUUACACCGUAGUGAUAUUCUUGUUUCGCUCUUCAUCUUCGGAUCCUGUCUAAUGAUCCAGGCGUAAUCCCGGACGCGAAGAAUAAAAAGGAAGGAGUUGCUUACUUUAUUCGUAUAAACGUUCUUAGGAUUUUUGAUUCCCAGUUACUAUUAAAAAUAAAGUAAAAGUGUUCGCUAAAGUUAAAUUUGAAAAAUACCAAGCCAUCGCCCGAAACGGAAAGAGAGGAUUCGAACCCUCGGUACGAAGAACUCGUACACCGGAUUAGCAAUCCGACGCUUUAAUCCACUCAGCCAUCUCUCCUAAUUGAAAAUAAAAAAAUAAAAAAAAAAAUGACUAUGUUACAUACACAAAAAAUAAUGCUUGAAAAAGCCCGUCUUUACUUGAUUUUCUAUCUUUACUUUCUAUAUUCUCUUCUAUAUCUCUAGAAGAGAAUAUAGAAAGUAAAUUGAUUAUAUAGCUCAUAGAAAAUAUAGCUUAUAGAAUCUUUUUUUUUAUUGUCUUUGUAUUCUAUUAUAUAAAUAGAUAAACUUUUAUCAGCAAUUCCAUUUCUAUCAUUUUCGAAAAUAAAAUAAAGAAAGUAUUCGAAAGAGAUAAAAUAGAAAAAAAUAAAGAAAAGAAUAUCUCUUUAAUUUCGUUCAACGGGGCCUUUUUUAUUUCCCACUUCCACGGCCUGGCCUGCGUCAGUACCCAGCCGGGCCUUUUUUUGUUCUAAUGACCCAUACCGCUGAACCGUAGAAAGGGUGCGAACCAUACCAUAAAAAAACGAUUUAUUUGAAUUUGAUUUGAAAACCACAAAAUGAAAUCCUUGUUAUUGUAUUCAAAGGAACAAUAAAAGAAGGACUAUUUCCAUUCUUUUGAUUGAAUCAAGAAUCCAAAUUUGUAUUUGGUGUGUGGAUAAAAGUUAUUUUGUCGAGCCAUAUCUGUCAAAAUUCGUCCAACAAAAGAAAUUGUUUUGAAUUAUUAAAUUUAGUUAUUUAAACGAAAUAACUCCUCCUUUACGAGGACUCCUGACAAAGACGUCAACGUUCUAAUUUCCAAUUUUCAUUUCAUGAUUAUUUUAAAUUUAUGUCCUAUCUUGAUUACAUCUGAUUCUCUUGUUCGACAAAGGGCCCUUUUAUACAAUAAUCGCAUUGUAGCGGUAUAGUUUAGUGGUAAAAGUGUGAUUCGUUCAAUUAAUCCCUUAAUAGUUAAGGGGUCCUUCAGUUUAAUUGAUAUUUCAAUCAAAAACUUUAUUUCUUAAAAGGAUUCAAUUUUAAUCCUUUCACUCUCAAAUUUAAAUAAAAGAUUCGGAGAAAAUAUCCGUUCUCGUGAUUUGUAUCCAAGAGUCAAUUCGAAAUUGACAAUUUGGAUUAUGAAAUUGCGAAACAUAAUUUUGUUUUUUGUUUUUGAAUUGGAUCAAUACUUCCAAUUUUUUAAGUAUAAGUAAAGGAUCCAUGGAUAAAGAUAGAAAAGUCUAGUUCGAAUCGUAACUAAAUCUUCAAUUUUGGUUUUUUAUAGGUUAGAUUGAAGCAAAAUAGCUAUUAAAUGAUCACUCUAGUUUACUAGAGACAUCAACGUAUUCUAUUUUUUAGUUUAGCUCGGGGGAAACAAAAAACUUUUCCUAAGGAUUCUUUCAAAUAGAAAUAGAGAACGAAGUAACUAGAAAGAUUGGUAUUG
rnacentral:lncRNA from 1 species